CUUCAGUCUUAGGAAUUAGUGAUGGGCUAGAUAGUAGUUCCUGGAGAGGGGAGAUGAUAAUCCUUUUCGUGAUAAAGGAACUGGGUGGAAUCUGAACUGCCUCUAGAGCUGUAUUUCCAGUCUUGCAAGGAUUUUCUAAGGACAGUUGCUCUUGAUUUCCCAGAAACUGGAUUGUAACUCAAAUUACAUUCCAGGUUGAUCUACCUGUCCAACUGCAUCACAAAGGCACAGAGAAACCCCUCAAAUUUUCUCCCAGAUGGAGUUAGAACGCAUCCACAGGGUGGGUCUCUGGGGAUGCUUAGGAGCCUUCCCCGUGGUGGUAAAGCCAGUGUCUGACUGACAGCAGCUGGAGAAAGGGUGCAGAGGCCGAUUGCGGGUGUGCAGAGGCCGAUUGCGGGUGUUGACAUAGUUAUAAGAUUUAGUCAAGUCCCGCUCAGCCUGGGCACUUUGUCUCUGAGCCAGCAAAGUUGAGGUAGGGAAGCAGGAGGCAAAGGCCUGGAACUGGCUGGAGGCUGGGGCUCCCAGAGCCAGGUUUGAGUUAAAUCCCUGGCAAAAGGCUUAUUUUUUCCAAUUGUACAGAAGGUCAAGGUUCUGCUGAGGUCUAGCCUGAACUUAACCUCGACUUGGUGACAACAGAAGAGAUGAUGAGCAAAACAGACAAAGAAAGGAAAAGAAGAGAUCAGACCUCACCCUUAUGGCCUCUUCCAGAGGGUUAUCAAGAUAAGAGUCACACAACAGUUCCCGUGCUGGGGCACACUACGCUAGCACGACAGUUCACAGAAUAAAUCACAGGUCUCCUACCCUCAUAACCGACUCAGUAGGUGACUAAAAUACUCAAUGAGUCAACUGUCAAGAGAGGGCACCCCCACUUAGGGUUGCUGGGGUGAUCAGGCCCAGAAACCCAAAGUUGGGGCUCCCAGGGGUGGAGCCUUUUACUCUUUAAAGAUUUCUUUGUUUCCCAGUCACAAGGCUCAAAAGGAGAUGAAAAUUGCCAUUGUAACUCCAAGAGAGACAAAAGAAACAGGUCCAUUACCAUGAAAAAUCCCCCCUGAACCUAGGGCAGCGUCCUACCCGUUGUUCCUACUGUGGGGUUCCUAUAGCAAGGGGUGAUGGGGGCGUCCCCCGGCAUUGCAUCCCUUGUAUACCUUCCCUGUUAUGCCUGGCAGUAACAGGUGCCUGGUGCCUAUUCUGCCUGACAGCAUAGGCCUGGUGAAUGGUUCCCGAGAGAAAAGGAGAAAGAAAAGGGGCCAUUACCUUGAAAAUCCCCCCAUUGGGGUUCCUGUAGCAAGGGAUGAUGGGGGCAUCACUUGAACAUCUUCCCUAUUCUGCCUGGCAGGAAUAGGUGCCUGGCGUAUGGUCCCCAGGAGAGAAAAGGACAAAGAGAGAAAGAGAAAGACAGUGAGGAAUUUUCCACCAGUCUGGGGGACAUUCUACCCAAUUGCAUCCUGGAGCCAUUCUCCCAAGAAGGGGUUCCCAUACUCCACCAAAGGUUAGAGUUUGGUACUUCCCUUGAACUGGAGUCCCGAGUGGGGCUUUCCUCGCAGUUCAGAGCAUGGUCAGGUGCCAGAGGGAGGGAUCCCAAUCCAGCCUUAGGAAAAGAAACCUUCCACGGGAGUCUUGGAGAUUGGCGGCCAUCCUAAUGACUUAAGUGGCCGACCCGCGCCCACGUAAAAUUUGUCUAUUAGAGAUAGAGUCAGGAAGGAAUGGAUUAAUUCAUUCUCCAUCACCCUCAGGCUUAAGGUACUGAUUCUCUUCAAGCUGAAUGCCACAACUUGCCCCAUAGAGUAGCCAUGGGCAGCAAACGUGGAUUCAUACAGCCAUCCAAGAAAGUUCCCGAUGGAGAAGUGAAUUUAGAUCCAUCCUUGAAAAAGAGAAAGGCACAAGGAAGAAAAGGGCACUUACCAGAACUCGAGCUCACAAGCCGAUGAAGCAAUUCCCCGUACGGGCCACCAGAAAUGAUGCGGGGUCGGUGAGCCAAGGAGUCGAAAGAAAGAUUUCUUAGACUCUCAAGAUCUGGCAGUAGUGCUCUUUUAUUUAGAGAAUAGUGUGGAAUAGCAUGGGGACAGGACCCAUGGGCAGGCAGAGCUUCUGCUGCUGCCCCCGCUGGCAUGGGGACAGGACCCAUGGGCAGGCAGAGCUGGUGUGUGGGGACAAGACCCACGGGCAGUCAGAGCUCCUGCUGCUGCCCUGAGUUGAGGGUUAGGGCUAAUUUUAUAAGGCAUGGGUACGUGACUUAUUUUUACUGGAGAAAAGAAAAGAUGAUGUAAAAAGUCAUUAAAUGAUUUCAGUGCAGAUGGGGUCUGGUUAUUGUGUGGUCAUAUAACU
rnacentral:lncRNA from 1 species